rnacentral:tRNA from 1 species
GCCUUCGUGGUGUAGUGGCUGCAUGCUCGACGCGUAACCGAGAGGUCCGUGGUUCGAUUCCCGGCGAAGGCG